ensembl:antisense Gm11788 predicted gene 11788
GCAGGUAAGCUGAGGAGCAGGAGGUCCUGUCUGAGGCAUAGCUGUCUGUCACCUGCGGACGCCAGCUGCAGAGGGUCCCCGGGGAUUUUCCACCGCUGCCUACCGGGAAGUCCAGCGGGUGCGUGCAGCAAGCGGCUCCGCAGGAAGCCAGCCCCCCAAAGUACCAGCGAGAUGCGCGUGCCUCGGCCAUGGCCAGAGCAGCAGCGACCUGGCCCGACCCCGGUGAGCACAACUCCGGUCCCAGCUGCUCAACGCCCGGUUCAAAGUGCUACCGAGCGCCCGCGCCCGGUACAGCCAAUGCGCCCGCGCAGCCCCGGGGGCGGGGCCUAUGGACUCCGCCCGCCACCGGACUCCAGCCUUGGGAGACUCCGCCUCUGGUCUUAAAGAGGCCGCAACGAGGAGCAAUGAGAGGCGAUCCACUGGAGCCAACUGUGAAACUGAGCUAACCCAUGACCACCCCCACUCUCCAGAUCAUGGCUUUGGUCUCAGUUCCGAAGGCGCUCUGCCAUUCUCAACUCAUCAGGAGGAACUGCAAAUAUUCAGUACCAGUGCCAGAGGAUAC